rnacentral:lncRNA from 1 species
AGAGUCCAAUGCUCAGUCAAAGUCUUCUCUAGUUUGAGGUGGAGUUUCUCUGUCUUUAUACAGCUGUUAUUCAAAAGUCUUAUUACAACUAGUCUGCUUUGGAUGUUGAAUCCCAUUUGCUGCAGUCUGACAAGGGGUGAAGGUUGAAGAUAUUCACUGAUUUUAGGGGUUUGGGGGCGCAGGCGGUGCUUGGUGUACUAAUGCAGUUCCCUGGUUUCAAUCUCUGGCUUUGACUUGCUCCUUUAACUCGGUUUCUCUACUCUGCAGUUCCUUUAGAAGCUUAUCUGUUUAAAUCAGUUCUUUUGAACAGAAAGCACUGAUCUAAUAUGCUGAUCAGGGUCAACCAGUCUGAUUAUCUUUUAAGUGACCAUAUUUGGCAUUUCCUGUCUUUGACUGCAGUUCUUUUGAACAGGAAAGACUUGUAAACUGCUAGUAUGAUGAAUUUACUGAACGCCAUGAAGUCAGUAGUGGGAUUAUUAAUUUUUCUUCUCAGUCAUGAUGCCUCGACGGGUCCUCAAACAGGCAUUUACCUUGACACUGGCAUCAUAGCUGGCAUUGUCAUUGUCACUGUGAUUGUCUUUGCCUUGAUAGGAAUGGCUGAUCAGGAGCAGGCUGAUGAAUGUGUCAAUUUAAAUAAAGGUACAACUACAAGUCAGGACACAUUCUGUGCAGAAUGUUCAAACGGCUGCUGGAAAUGUUGUAGAGGUUUUGUAUCCUGUUGUUGUACUGAAUCCCUAUUCAUAGGUUGUGACAUAUGCUGCAUGUCUCUAUUUUAAAUGGAAAAAUUCAUCAACAAUAAUUAUUUCACUGCUCCUUUGGAUACUGUAUGCACUACAGUCAUUGUCAGUUGAUUGCCUGGGCUCAUCUUUCAUUUCAUAUAAGACUAAAUGUUUAUAAUAAUUUUAUAAUAGGUUUAUAAGUUCAUAAGUUUACAAUAACAAUACACGUUAGGCACCUUUCUAAACACUCAAGGUCAACUUAGAAAAAAUAAGUAAUCGAAAAAACAAGAAGAAUAUUUUUAGAGUGGCCUAGCCUUAAAUUACACCAGAUUAAGACGCUUUGAUAUGACCUUAAACAUGCUGUUCAUGCUCAAAAACCUUCCAUUGUGGCUACAUUCAAAUAAUUCAGCAAAAAAAAAAAAGAACAAAGGGGCAAAGCUCGUUGGUUUAAUUUGUUACACAGGAAGGUUUGGUUAGUUUUUUUAGUUGUUGUUUUUUUUUUAAUCAAUAAAUUAAAUUAGAACUUAAGAAAACUGUAUUCUACAUAUUCAUGUUGUCUUUGUCUAUUAUUACAAUUUUAUUGAUGAUCUGAAACAUUUGAAUGUGUAAACUGUGCAAAACCUAAUAAAUCAGGAAGGGGCUGAUCCUUUUUCACAGCACUGUAUCUGCUGUAUGUUUGUUCUUUCCCCUGUUUUCCUUUGAAAAUACUCUCUCAUUUGUUCAUACAUUUACAAUAUGCAGGUAUUUUGAGAUACCUGCAUUUAACAAGUUCACUCAAGUUACCUGGAUACAUACAGAGAGAACAUGAGCACAAACAGAAGUACAGAGUCAAUGAUGGUGACACAAUGAUAACACACUCAAGCACCAACAAACAAGAACUGAAACCAGGGUUAUAAAACA